UGUAUGCGUUCUUUCUUGUGAUGUUCCACAUUGGUCGGGGAGAAGUACAAAUCACCAUUUAUAAGGGUGUGGAAACCUUCUCUAGCAGACGCGUUUUAAAGCCUUGAGGGGAAGCCCGAAAGGGAAAGCUCAAAGAGAACAAUAUUU